AAAUGGAUGAGCUUUGUAAUAAGGCUGAAGAUCCACAAAACAUUGUACAAGACUCUAAAAAUGAUGAGGAUAAUACUGAAAAUCCAAAUAAUGGUGAACCUGAAGAUGAUGAUGCAAAACAAUGGAGCGACGUUUGGAAAUUUUGCAACGUUUUAUUCAACAAUUUUAGUCAUCCCAAAAAUUGUUAAGAUAUAGAACUCACAGUAAUUUGUACGAAUCUUUUUUGUAGGUCAGUGAAUAGGUCGGAAAUGUCGAUAAAUUUCGGUUUCAUGGUCAAGAUUACAAAUUUUACUAUCAGGUCAUUCAGGUUGACCAGGUCAUUUCAGGUAUUUCAAAAAUCAGGUCAGGUCAGGU